GAAAAACAGUCGGGUGCAUAUAAGCGCGCUUUUUUUAAAUGGCAGACGUUAUUUUCUUGUUCAAUCGCGUUAUGAGCUUUAUCGAACCACAAAAUGUAGUCGCACCCAAAAUAGAUGUUGCUCACUACCAGGAGGGAGAUCUCAUCAAAGCCACUUACCAAAAACAAACAUACGAUGCGGUGAUCAGUGAAAUCCAUCAUGACGAGGUUUCUCUUAAAGCAAGCAAAGCGACCGCCUAAGCAUGCUUUCGAGGCAACUUAAGAUAGGAAAAAAACUCAAGGUAGUUCAGUGAUCAAAAACCAACAGAGCCUCGUGAUAAGUUGCCUGUAAAGAGGAGCAUGAUCCCAUCAAAUGCCUCCGAAGAGAUUGACCUGACGAACAAUGCUGCAAAGCAAAAUCUCAGUAAGCAAAGUGCUCAAACACCUACACAGAGCCUCGUGACAAGUUGCUUGUACACAGAAGAGCCUGAUCCCAUCAGAUGCCUCCGAAGAGAUUGAAAAGAACUGUUUACGGACAUUUUCAGAACUGUUUUAGAACAUUUGUUCCAGACUUAUUUGAAGCAACCCUUCGAAACUGUUCUAAACAUUUCUAGAAUUGUACUGGAACACACCGGCUAGAACUGUUCUGUAAUCGUACUGAAAAUGUUCUAGAAUUAUUCUGGAACAGUUGUUGAACGUUAAAUGAGAAAAAUUUUCUAGAACAAUUCUAUAACAGUUCUGGAAAUUUAUUCAAGAAAAAUUAUGGAAUAGUUCUAGAACGAUAGUUCAAGAAUUGUUCUAGAACAGUUGUUGAACGUUAAAUGAGAAAAAUUUCUAGAACAAUUCUAUAACAGUUCUGGAAAUUUAUUCAAGAAAAAUUCUGGAAUAGUUCUAGAACGAUAGUUCAAGAAUUGUUCUAGAACAAACCUUCAGAACUGUUUCAGAACAAAUUGUUCUAGAAAUUAUUCUCAUUUAACGUUCAACAACUGUUCUAAAUCGUUCUAGAGCAUUUUAAGGAUGAUUCCAGAACACUUCUAGUCAUUAGUUCCAGUACAAUUCUAGAAAUGUUAUAGAACAGUUCUAAAAAUCUUCGCAG